ensembl:snRNA U6 U6 spliceosomal RNA
GUGCUUGCUUUGGCAGCACAUAUACUAAAAUUGGAACAAUACAAAGAUCAGCAUAGCUGCUAUGUAAGGAUGACAAGUAAAUUCCUGAAGCAUUUCAUAGUUAU